UACGGAGGAUCCGAGCGUUAUCCGGAUUUAUUGGGUUUAAAGGGAGCGUAGGUGGACUGGUAAGUCAGUUGUGAAAGUUUGCGGCUCAACCGUAAAAUUGCAGUUGAUACUGUCAGUCUUGAGUACAGUAGAGGUGGGCGGAAUUCGUGGUGUAGCGGUGAAAUGCUUAGAUAUCACGAAGAACUCCGAUUGCGAAGGCAGCUCACUGGACUGCAACUGACGCUGAUGCUCGAAAGUGUGGGUAUCAAACAGGAUUAGAUACCCUGGUAGUCAAGGGCG
rnacentral:rRNA from 1 species